AUUGAACGCUGGCGGCAGGCUUAACACAUGCAAGUCGAACGGUAACAGGGAGAAACUUGUUUCUCUGCUGACGAGUGGCGGACGGGUGAGUAAUGCUUGGGAAUCUGCCUUAUGGAGGGGGAUAACCACUGGAAACGGUGGCUAAUACCGCGUAAUAUCUUUGGAUUAAAGUGUGGGACUUUCGAGCCACACGCCAUAAGAUGAGCCCAAGUGAGAUUAGGUUGUUGGUGAGGUAAUGGCUCACCAAGCUUACGAUCUCUAGCUGGUUUGAGAGGAUGACCAGCCACACUGGGACUGAGACACGGCCCAGACUCCUACGGGAGGCAGCAGUGGGGAAUAUUGCACAAUGGGCGCAAGCCUGAUGCAGCCAUGCCGCGUGAAUGAAGAAGGCCUUAGGGUUGUAAAGUUCUUUCAUUAGUGAGAAAGCGGUUAUAUCUAAUAGGUGUAACCAUUGAUGUUAGCUAAAGAAGAAGCACCGGCUAACUCCGUGCCAGCAGCCGCGGUAAUACGGAGGGUGCGAGCGUUAAUCGGAAUGACUGGGCGUAAAGGGCACGCAGGCGGUUAUUUAAGUCAGAUGUGAAAGCCCCGAGCUUAACUUGGGAAUUGCAUUUGAUACUGGGUAACUAGAGUCCUCUAGGGAGGGGUAGAAUUCCAUGUGUAGCGGUGAAAUGCGUAGAGAUGUGGAGGAAUACCGAAGGCGAAGGCAGCCCCUUGGAGAGAGACUGACGCUCAUGUGCGAAAGCGUGGGGUAGCAAACAGG
rnacentral:rRNA from 1 species